rnacentral:rRNA from 1 species
AGUGAACGCUGGCGGUAGGCCUAACACAUGCAAGUCGAACGGCAGCACAGUAAGAGCUUGCUCUUACGGGUGGCGAGUGGCGGACGGGUGAGGAAUACAUCGGAAUCUACUUUUUCGUGGGGGAUAACGUAGGGAAACUUACGCUAAUACCGCAUACGACCUACGGGUGAAAGCAGGAGAUCUUCGGACCUUGCGCGAUUGAAUGAGCCGAUGUCGGAUUAGCUAGGUGGCGGGGUAAAGGCCCACCAAGGCGACGAUCCGUAGCUGGUCUGAGAGGAUGAUCAGCCACACUGGAACUGAGACACGGUCCAGACUCCUACGGGAGGCAGCAGUGGGGAAUAUUGGACAAUGGGCGCAAGCCUGAUCCAGCCAUACCGCGUGGGUGAAGAAGGCCUUCGGGUUGUAAAGCCCUUUUGUUGGGAAAGAAAAGCAGCAGGUUAAUACCCCGCUGUUCUGACGGUACCCAAAGAAUAAGCACCGGCUAACUUCGUG